rnacentral:rRNA from 1 species
AUUGAACGCUGGCGGCAGGCCUAACACAUGCAAGUCGAGCGAGCGGCGGACGGGUGAGUAAUGUCUGGGAACCUGCCUGAUGGAGGGGGAUAACUACUGGAAACGGUAGCUAAUACCGCAUACCAUCAGAUUUGCCCAGAUGGGAUUAGCUGGUAGGUGGGGGAACGGCGAACCUAGGCGACGCUCCCUACCUGGUCUGAGAGGAUGACCAGCCACACUGGAACUGAGACACGGUCCAGACUCCUACGGGAGGCAGCAGUGGGGAAUAUUGCACAAUGGGCGCAAGCCGGAGGCAGCCCUGCCGCGUGUGUGAAGAGGGCCUUCGGGUUGUAAAGCACUUUCAGCGGGGAGGCGUUACCCGCAGAAGAAGCACCGGCUAACUACGUGCCAGCAGCCGCGGUAAUAC